CGUCUCCAACCAUCGCCUGCCUCAGCAGAGCCCAGAUUCCUGUUUGUUCCACGCUGAGAGCUUGGGAGUGAGCGCUUAUUCAAGAGACGGGCGCCACCAUUAGCAUCCAUGCUUACUUCCACUGAGCAUGCUCAGUACAUAUGACAUCACUGCACAUACGGGACAACAGAACCAAAACCAGAACCCGUCUGGAGGUUUGAGAAGACGAAGCAGAACUGAACCAGCAGAACUUUCUAUGUUAAAGUAAGAAGUAAAGAGCAGGAGAGGCGUUUCCUGGUGAGCGUGGCGCCGCGUUUGACCCGGACCAAUCAGAGGAAGAGUUGAGGGGAACCAUGACUCACGGAGAGGUUCCUCCAAACUGCCUGGGAACCAAAGUGGGAUGAAAAAGUCCAAAGGUCCAGUUAGAGUUUGGUAGUGCUGUUGGUUUUCCAGAGAAGAAAACUUUAUCUUCCUGCCAUCUUGGAGCCUCGCAGCCGGGACUUUCUCACAGCGGAUCCGUGUGAAAACUGGUGGAAAAUGUGAGGCGAGGAGGAAAGAGCAGUGCUGAACAUCAGAGGGUGUUCGCCGCCCUGACGGACAUGGCCGCAGUGUCCCAAUUAGGGGCCGUGUUUUGAGAAGGUGUGGUUGCAGCAGCGUUCUUCCUUCCAGCUGAUCCUCUUUCCAGUGAUUCCAUGUUUCCAGAAUAAAGCAGCAGCCGUCCACCUCACACUAAAUUUUAAGAUGUGGUCUGUUGGGAUUUUACUCUACAGACUCCU